ensembl:snRNA U6 U6 spliceosomal RNA
CUGCUCACUUAGGCAGCACAUCCACUAACAUUGAAAUGAUACAGGGAAGAUUAGCAUUGGCCUUAUGCAAGGAUGACGUGCAAAUUUGUGAAGCAUUCCAUAUUUUU